rnacentral:rRNA from 1 species
GAUUGAACGCUGGCGGUAUGCUUAACACAUGCAAGUCGAACGGAAACGAUACUAGCUUGCUAGUAGGCGUCGAGUGGCGGACGGGUGAGUAACGCGUAGGAAUCUGCCUGAUAGUGGGGGAUAGCCCGAAGAAAUUCGGAUUAAUACCGCAUAAUCUAUUCGUAGUAAAGUGGGGGACUUUCGAGCCUCACGCUAUCAGAUGAGCCUGCGUAAGAUUAGCUUGUUGGUAGGGUAAAAGCCUACCAAGGCGACGAUCUUUAGCUGGUCUGAGAGGAUGAUCAGCCACAUCGGGACUGAGACACGGCCCGAACUCCUACGGGAGGCAGCAGUGGGGAAUAUUGGACAAUGGGGGCAACCCUGAUCCAGCAAUACCGCGUGUGUGAAGAAGGCCUGAGGGUUGUAAAGCACUUUCAAUUGUGAAGAAAAGUUAGCGGUUAAUAACCGUUAGCCUUGACGUUAACUUUAGAAGAAGCACCGGCUAACUCCGUGCCAGCAGCCGCGGUAAUACGGAGGGUGCAAGCGUUAAUCGGAAUUACUGGGCGUAAAGCGUGCGUAGGCGGUUUAUUAAGUCAGAUGUGAAAGCCCCGGGCUUAACCUGGGAACUGCAUUUGAAACUGGUCAACUAGAGUAUGGUAGAGGAAAGUGGAAUUUCUGGUGUAGCGGUGAAAUGCGUAGAUAUCAGAAGGAACAUCAAUGGCGAAGGCAGCUUUCUGGACCAAUACUGACGCUGAGGUACGAAAGCGUGGGUAGCAAACAGGAUUAGAUACCCUGGUAGUCCACGCCGUAAACGAUGAUAACUAGCCGUUGGGGGGAUUUACCCUUUAGUGGCGAAGCUAACGCGUUAAGUUAUCCGCCUGGGGAGUACGGCCGCAAGGUUAAAACUCAAAGGAAUUGACGGGGACCCGCACAAGCGGUGGAGCAUGUGGUUUAAUUCGAUGCAACGCGAAGAACCUUACCUGGUCUUGACAUCCUGCGAACUUUCUAGAAAUAGAUUGGUGCCUUCGGGAACGCAGUGACAGGUGCUGCAUGGCUGUCGUCAGCUCGUGUCGUGAGAUGUUGGGUUAAGUCCCGUAACGAGCGCAACCCCUAUCCUUAUUUGCCAGCACAUCAUGGUGGGAACUAUAAGGAGACUGCCGGUGAUAAACCGGAGGAAGGCGGGGACGACGUCAAGUCAUCAUGGCCCUUACGACCAGGGCUACACACGUGCUACAAUGGGAAGGACAAAGAGCCGCGAAGCCGCGAGGUGUAGCUAAUCUCAUAAACCUUUUCGUAGUCCGGAUUGGAGUCUGCAACUCGACUCCAUGAAGUCGGAAUCGCUAGUAAUCGUAGAUCAGAAUGCUACGGUGAAUACGUUCCCGGGUCUUGUACACACCGCCCGUCAAG